rnacentral:tRNA from 1 species
GGCUCUGUGGCCUAACGGAUAAGGCGUCGGUCUCCUUACCUGAAGAUUUAAGGUUCGAUUCUUUGCAGGGUCG